UGUGAUUUAUUGCUUUCGUACUAAAGAUUUCCAUGCUAAUUCUGACCUAUUUCUUAGCUUUAUGUGGUCUGAUUUGUUUUGUUCCGAUUGGGAGAUAUAAAGCCUUUUUCCACCAAGUAAGAAUAUCCUAUGGUACUAAUAAAGGGAAGAAUUUCACUGAAGAGGAGGAUCACUUCCUAAUCUGUAUGCUUCACAAACUAGGAUUUGAUAAAGAAAAUGUCUUUGAUGAAUUAAGACAAUGUAUCCGAAACUCGCUGCAAUUCAGAUUUGACUGGUUUCUCAAGUCCAGAACUGCAAUGGAGCUGCAAAGGAGGUGUAAUACUUUAAUCACUCUCAUUGAAAGA